UCUAGGUUGUAAUAUCAUUUUUGGCUUAUUUUAACUCUCAUUUUUCUCAGCUGAUUCUGAGCCA